GCUCCUGCUUCUAGACAGACUCAUACCCCUACAUAUAUAAAAGAGGAACAAAGAAAGGAGUGAAAAAGAAGUGCAUUCAAGGCGCCCUCCCUCCCUCAGUUAGCUACUAGAAACGUGCCCCAGGUAGAGUCACUCCAUCGCAUAGAGGCUGGCUGACUGGAUGGAUCCUCUCACCAGGUGUCUGCUCCCCAAAGGUGUCGACACCGGAGUGCAGACAAAAGGGACUGAACCAAGCCUGCAGUUGUGUCUGCAGUUCAAGGCUACAGGUAAGGAUCUUCAUGGUGUAAGAACCACUGUUGUUUGGCUGAAAACACCGCAGCAAGGCGAAGUGCACACCCGGAAGUAAAACGGAAAUCAAGACGGGGACGAGCGGAAGUGUGUUUAUUCUUCUGCGGCACGCGUUCGAUUCGCUUAGACUUUUAAAGCUUCUGCUUCACUGGACUCUUUUUGUCUUCAAUUGAGGACUAUUUUCAAUCCAAACUGCUUCACAUAAGAACAAUUAACUUAACUGCAUCACAAUGUUGUGUUAAAGUUGAUAAUUAUGACAUAGCGGGGGAGAAACGCUGUUAAAAAGAGGUUCGCGUACAUGAUUGCAGUUGACGCAUUCAUUAGAUAAUUCAUUCUCAAGCUAAAUAUGUGUGUUAAGUACAUUCGUUUGUAUUCCAUUUUAUUUUCACAAUUCUUUAAUUACUACUUUGAAUCUAUAUAUAUAAUUUUUCUUAUCUUAUAACUAACUAUUAUUUAUCUUAUUUUGAUUAUCAUUGUUAUAUUCAUUGCUUUAU